UGGGUGGAUUAGCCAGUCUGUGGCAGACC
rnacentral:piRNA from 1 species